AGCCAUCCUUUAAAGAAAGCGUAAUAGCUCACUGGUCGAGUCGGCCCGCGCGGAAGAUGUAACGGGGCUAAGCGAUAUACCGAAGCUGCGGAUGCAUGUUUACAUGCAUGGUAGGGGAGCGUUCUGUACGUCUGUGAAGGUGAGUCGUAAGGCUUGCUGGAGAUAUCAGAAGUGCGAAUGCUGACAUGAGUAACGAUAAAGGGGGUGAGAGGCCCCCUCGCCGAAAAUCCAAGGUUUCCUGCUCAACGCUAAUCGGAGCAGGGUGAGUCGGCCCCUAAGGCGAGACCGAAAGG
rnacentral:rRNA from 14 species